rnacentral:rRNA from 1 species
UACAGAGGUCUCAAGCGUUGUUCGGAUUUACUGGGCGUAAAGGGCGCGUAGGCGGUCGUGACAAGUCACUUGUGAAAUCUCCGGGCUUAACUCGGAACGGUCAAGUGAUACUGUCGGACUAGAGUACAGAAGGGGCAACUGGAAUUCUCGGUGUAGCGGUGAAAUGCGUAGAUAUCGAGAGGAACACCUGCGGCGAAGGCGGGUUGCUGGGCUGAUAACUGACGCUGAGGCGCGGAAAGCCAGGGGAGCGAACGGG